rnacentral:rRNA from 1 species
AACGAACGCUGGCGGCGUGCUUAACACAUGCAAGUCGAACGUGAAAGGGGGCUUCGGUCCCUGAGUAAAGUGGCGCACGGGUGAGUAACACGUGGAUAACCUGUCCUUAUGUCUGGAAUAAUACGCCGAAAGGUGUACUAAUACUGGAUAUUCUUGUUUUUCAUAAGGUAUGCAAGCAAAGGUGGCCUCUGACAUAAGCUACUGCAUAAGGAGGGGUCUGCGUACCAUUAGCUAGUAGGUGGGGUAAUGGCCUACCUAGGCGACGAUGGUUAGCGGGUCUGAGAGGAUGAUCCGCCACACUGGCACUGGAACACGGGCCAGACACCUACGGGUGGCAG